GCCUUGUGCGAACAUGUCUAUUGGUGUGAUAAUUAUCUACGCCGUGGGCUAUUUGCCGUUUAUAGCACUGCUUAUAAUCGUCUGUUCAUUCAGACAAUAUAUGACAAUUUGACCUCAAAUCAGGUAGGACUACCCGCUGAACUUAAGCAUAUCAAUAAGCGGAGGAAAAGAAACUAACAAGGAUUCCCCUAGUAACUGCGAGUGAAGCGGGAAAAGCUCAAAUUUAAAAUCUGGCAGUCUUUGGCUGUCCGAGUUGUAAUCUAGAGAAGUGUUAUCCGCGCUGGACCGUGUACAAGUCUCCUGGAAUGGAGCGUCAUAGAGGGUGAGAAUCCCGUCUUUGACACGGACUGCCAGGGCUUUGUGAUGCGCUCUCAAAGAGUCGAGUUGUUUGGGAAUGCAGCUCAAAAUGGGUGGUAAAUUCCAUCUAAAGCUAAAUAUUGGCGAGAGACCGAUAGCGAACAAGUACCGUGAGGGAAAGAUGAAAAGAACUUUGGAAAGAGAGUUAAACAGUACGUGAAAUUGCUGAAAGGGAAACGCUUGAAGUCAGUCGCAUUGUGUGGGAAUCAACCUUGCUUUUGCUGGGCGUAUUUUCCAUAUGAUGGGUCAGCAUCAAUUUCGACCGUUGGAUAAAGUUCAAGGGAAUGUGGCAUCUUCGGAUGUGUUAUAGCCCUUGGUUGUAUACAACGAUUGGGAUUGAGGAACUCAGCACGCCGAAAGGCCGGGUCUCGUACCAUGUUCGUGCUUAGGAUGCUGGCAUAAUGGCUUUAAUCGACCCGUCUUGAA
rnacentral:rRNA from 1 species